CGAACGCUGGCGGCGUGCUUCACACAUGCAAGUCGAACGGAAAGGCCCUGCUUUUGUGGGGUGCUCGAGUGGCGAACGGGUGAGUAACACGUGAGUAACUUGCCCUUGACUUUGGGAUAACUUCAGGAAACUGGGGCUAAUACCGGAUAGGAGCUCCUGCUGCAUGGUGGGGGUUGGAAAGUUUCGGCGGUUGGGGAUGGACUCGCGGCUUAUCAGCUUGUUGGUGGGGUAGUGGCUUACCAAGGCUUUGACGGGUAGCCGGCCUGAGAGGGUGACCGGCCACAUUGGGACUGAGAUACGGCCCAGACUCCUACGGGAGGCAGCAGUGGGGAAUAUUGCACAAUGGGCGGAAGCCUGAUGCAGCAACGCCGCGUGCGGGAUGACGGCCUUCGGGUUGUAAACCGCUUUCGCCUGUGACGAAGCGUGAGUGACGGUAAUGGGUAAAGAAGCACCGGCUAACUACGUG
rnacentral:rRNA from 1 species